rnacentral:tRNA from 1 species
GAAGGUAGAGCUCGGUGGUGGAGUGUGUGCUUAGCAUGCACAAGGUUGUGGGUUUGGUCCCCAGUACCUCCA